AGGAUGAACGCUGGCGGCGUGCCUAAGACAUGCAAGUCGAGUGGGUUUAGACCCACGGCGAACGGGUGAGUAAUACCUAGGAACUUUCUUUAAGUGGAGCAUAACCCAUAGAAAUGUGGGACAAUUCUUCAUGUGGCAGUAAUGCUAAAGUCGCAAGACGCUUAAAGUGAGGCCUGGGCACCAUCAGCUAGUUGGUAAGGUAAUGGCUUACCAAGGCUAUGACGGUUAGGGGUCCCGAGAGGGAUAACCCCCACACUGGAACUGCGACACGGUCCAGACUCCUACGGGAGGCAGCAGUUUGGAAUUUUGGACAAUGGGCGAAAGCCUGAUCCAGCGACGCCGCGUGGACGAUGAAGGCCUUCGGGCGUAAAGUCCUUUUGCUCGGGAACAAUAUUUUGAGCGUACCGAGAGAAUAAGAGGUUGCUAACUCUGUGCCAGCAGCCGC
rnacentral:rRNA from 1 species